GUAUCAUCUUCAGGAACUGGCAAAUGGUCAAAACAAGUUUAAUAAUAAGGAGCACACAUAUAGCUUGAUAUCUGAAUUGCUUCCCUUGCUGAAACAUAUCUAUCAGAACCAAUUAAAUGAGCUGGAAGUAAAGCAAGGGGAUCAAGGUAAGCUUCAAAACAAUUGCCUAGUUUCUUCCUCCAGUUAGAUAUCCUCUUGAUCGAUCUAUCAUCCAAAAGGUGGAUUUUUUGGUGUACUUCUUCGAGUAUAUGAGCCUCACAAUGAGCUUGUUAACUGGUAUGUCUUCACAUCUGUAACACCUCUGAUAAUUUCGUAAGAGGAGAUGAGUAGACUCCGGAAGAAUGAGUAGCUCAACACUUCACAUUUGAAUGCAUUUGAGUAAUGGAAUUUCAGUCACUGAUAUUAUAAUCCUGUGUUUAAUUACUCUAACCACCGUUUAACUUUCUGAGAAUUAUUGAUCUUUUUUAUGAUGAAUAUUUUAGGACGAAUGAUGGACAAAAGUACAGCGGAUGUAGCUUCAGAUGGGUAUCACAAAUAUAAGCUACUUCCUAAGCAAUCGCACAAUUAAAGAGUUAGUUUGACUAUAGAAGAAUCAUACAAGUAACUUUCAGUAAGAUGAGAUGAUUUAUUAGGAAGAUGUCAAGCUGAUGGCUGAAUUGGGAUUGGACUCCUACAGAUUCUCCAUCUCGUGGUCAAGACUUCUUCCGAAUGGAAGAGGAUUUGUGAAUCCUAAAGGUCUGCAGUUCUACAACAACUUCAUCGAUGAGCUAGUGAAAUAUGGGACUGGAUUGGUCUUACUUCAUCAUUUGAAUUUGCAAAUUUAGCUGGUUUAGUAGAGAAGAUCAUGUGAACUCCUGGAUCUUCUUGGAUGCAAGAACUCUCAUGAAUCAAUGAGUUGUUGAUGCUCUGAACAUUGCUAUUCACACUUGUGCUAAUGGAGGGGACUUCAGUACUUGCCAUUUUAGGUGCAUCCAUGAGAGAUUUGUCAUUG